ensembl:rRNA 5S_rRNA 5S ribosomal RNA
CCCUCUGGCACCAUAGCAGCCUGAGAGUGCCCCAGUUUAAAAGCUAAGCAGGGUCAGGCUUGACUGGUGCUUGGAUGGGGGACCACCUGGAGGAACCAAGAGCUGGAGGUU